rnacentral:tRNA from 1 species
GGCCUAGUAACUCAGCUGGUAGAGCGCUCGCGAUACUAAAGCGAAGGUGUCAACCUUGCGCGGGUUCGAAUGCCGCUUGGGCCA